rnacentral:rRNA from 1 species
UACGUAGGGGGCAAGCGUUGUCCGGAAUUAUUGGGCGUAAAGAGCGCGUAGGCGGUCCGAUAAGUCGGCUGUGAAAGUCAGGGGCUCAACCCUUGAAAGCCGGCCGAUACUGUCGGACUAGAGUCCGGAAGAGGCAAGUGGAAUUCCCGGUGUAGCGGUGAAAUGCGUAGAUAUCCGGAGGAACACCGGUGGCGAAGGCGGCUUCCUGGACCGACACUGACGCUGAGGCGCGAAAGCUAGGGGAGCAAACGGG